rnacentral:rRNA from 1 species
CUCGUGUCGUGAGAUGUUGGUUAAGUCCCGCAACGAGCGCAACCCUUGUCACUAGUUGCCAUCAUUUAGUUGGGCACUCUAGUGAGACUGCCGGUGACAAACCGGAGGAAGGUGGGGAUGACGUCAAGUCCUCAUGGCCCUUAUGGGUAGGCUUCACACGUCAUACAAUGGUCGGUACAGAGGGUUGCCAAGCCGCGAGGUGGAGCCAAUCCCUUAAAGCCGAUCGUAGUCCGGAUCGUAGUCUGCAACUCGACUACGUGAAGUCGGAAUCGCUAGUAAUCGCAGAUCAGCAUGCUGCGGUGAAUACGUUCCCGGGUCUU